UACGUAGGGGGCGAGCGUUGUUCGGAUUUACUGGGCGUAAAGGGCGCGCAGGCGGUUCUGUUUGUCGAGUGUGAAAGCCCCGGGCUCAACCUGGGAACUGCGCUCGAAACGGCGGAACUAGAGUUCGGGAGAGGAGAGUGGAAUUCCCAGUGUAGAGGUGAAAUUCGUAGAUAUUGGGAAGAACACCGGUGGCGAAGGCGGCUCUCUGGACCGAUACUGACGCUGAGGCGCGAAAGCGUGGGGAGCAAACAGG
rnacentral:rRNA from 1 species